GAGUUUGAUCCUGGCUCAGAUUGAACGCUGGCGGCAUGCUUAACACAGCAAGUCGAACGGUAACAGUCGGAGCUUGCUCCGAGCUGACGAGUGGCGAACGGGUGAGUAACGCGUAGGGAUCUAGCCUCUUGUGGGGGACAACCCGGGGAAACUCGGGCUAAUACCGCAUAAGUUCUACGGAAGAAAGGAUGGUUUUAGCCAUUCGCAAGGGGAUGAACCUGCGUCGGAUUAGCUAGUUGGUAGGGUAAAAGCCUACCAAGGCGAGGAUCCGUAGCUGUUCUGAGAGGAUGAUCAGCCACACUGGGACUGAGACACGGCCCAGACUCCUACGGGAGGCAGCAGUGGGGAAUAUUGGACAAUGGGGGCAACCCUGAUCCAGCAAUGCCGCGUGUGUGAAGAAGGCCUGCGGGUUGUAAAGCACUUUCAGUGGGGAGGAAAGGUAAUGAAUUAAUAGUGCAUUAUCUUGACGUUACCUGCAUAAGAAGCACCGGCUAACUCCGUGCCAGCAGCCGCGGUAAUAC
rnacentral:rRNA from 1 species